rnacentral:tRNA from 1 species
GGCCGUAGUCUAGCUUGGUAGGAUGCCAGCCUGGGGGUCUGGAGAGCCCGGGUUCAAAUCCCGGCGGCC